rnacentral:lncRNA from 1 species
AGAGGGAGGAGUUAAGGAGACAGACAGAGAGAGAGAGAGAUCUGAGGAGAAGAGGGAGAACCAAAAUGGAGGCUGACGUGGUGUUAUCAAAGAGACUCUUGUGCUGCGUGACCCCUGACUGUAACCAAGUGUCCUUCUCUCUGAGACGUUCCCUCGGAGCUUGUUCUCACAGCCCUCACCUCCAGUGACCUCCACGAACUUUUCCACACGAGGGGUUCUCUGCUUCCCUCCAUCUGAGCUGCGCAAUUCCACCAGGCCUUUUGCUCCUCUUCAGUCAGGUGCUUUGGAGGUAAUGAAGUCUUUCGGGGGAAAAAUAAACAAAGGAAAUGCACCCGGUUGAUGUCAAUGGACUUGUUUAACUAUUUAAGGCCACUGUCUCCAAGUGUAAGUGUGCUGCGGUGUGUUUUGUAAAGUAGCGCUUAUAAUCCACUGAGCUUUCCAAACAGCCCUCUUGCCUAUUAAGCCUGCAUUGAGAAGUGGGUUUAAUUUGCCAGAGUAGUUUUUUGUGAUAAUUACAGGACUUGCAGAUUAGCUUGAGUGACUUGGCAAGGUUCUGUAGCUAAUAAAAAAUCACACAGGAAAAAAAUUGUAACAUUCAAUUGCUUCAAGGUUCUUCACGAGAGAAACAUUAAACAAACCUGAUAGGCCAGUUUCCAGUCUGUGAAGGGACUUGGAGGCAAGCCGGGAGAGAGGGAGGAGAAAGAGAUCGCCAUGAUGGGGAAGAAGGAAGAGGAGACCUAAAGGCCAGCUGACAUGACUUUGGGUCCCUAACCUGCAACUCAGCACUCAGUCCAUCAUGGGCUUUGCUAGUCUCUGUGACUUCUCCAGGGCAGGAAAGUGACAGGUUUCUGCGCAAGGGAGCCCGAGGUACCUGGUUCAGGAUGGAGAGGGCACUUGAGAGGCGUCAAAAGCAAGCACAGUUAGAGGACAUCAGCGAUGUUAAAACCCCACGAGGGUCAACAGUAGCCCAGGCAAAAUAAAGGAGCCUGAAGUGGAAAAACAGAAAUGGAACAAGACGUUUGUUCUGGAGCACGUGAGAUUGUCCUUCUAAGACAUUUCCAGAAGUAUUCAAAGGAAGAUUUAAUGGGAAAUCAUUAUGCAAAAGAGUCAGUAAUAUAUUUUAGUUUCAAAAAGUACGGAGCGUGACGCCUGUCAAUUAUACCUUCUGCAAAGGUGAGUGGCGGUUGUCCUUGCUGUUCCAAAAUGCAAAGAGAAACAAACAAACAAACAAACAAGCAAACCAGCUACUCCUAUUCCGCACUCCAAACACCAAGCAGAAAUGCUUCUGGGACAAACUGAGCUUCAUUCUUUAUGAAAAUGAAAACACUUCUUUCUGUGCACUAGGAAAAUGUUCUGCCUCUGAGCUGCAAAACCAGCACCAAACUUGAAAAGUUUGUGCAUCAAAGGAAAAAGGCAACCUACAGGAUGGGGGAGAAUAUUUGCAGGACACAUGUCCUGGAAGGAAUACAUAUUUAGACUGAAUAAAAUGAGUAAGAGGAGGGAUAGGGAGUUCGUGUUCAAUGUUGAGAGCUUGGGACAGUUGAGAAAACGCUCCGGAGUGUUCUGCAGAUGAAUGAUGGUGACGACUGCAUCAGUGUGAAUGUCCUUAACGCCGUCAAAAAUUGGUUAUAAUGGCAAAUUUUAUGCUACAUAUGUUUUACUACAAUAAAAAUGCCAGGAAAAUCUAACUGCUCCAAAUCCUGAAUUUAUUAACCCAAUAAAUUAGGAGAUGGUUAUUGACCUAUAAAUGGAUUUGUCAAUUUUUAAAAUGAUUUCCUUUAAAUUGAAUUCUUUCCUAGAGCUUUAUUGUCUCUUCACAAACCAUUAAACACUUGUUAAAGUGUUCAGAGAGGGCUGAGAUGGAGGAGGAAGUGAAAACCAAACAAACAGAUGAGGGACCUUCCCCAAAUGAUGUCUGCUAACAGGCUUCUUGGGUAUUCUAUUUAUAUAGAUUUUACAAGUGUUUUAUUUGAGAGGAAAAAUCCCUAGACCUUACAUAGUACAAUGAACUUCUUAUGCCUGUCAGCUAGAUUUAUUAAUUUUUAACGAGGUGUAUUACUUUUAAAAGCUAUCUAUUUACUAUUGGGGGAGGGAGAAGGACAAAGGACAUCUUGCAGAAGUCUGGUCUCUCCUGCUAUGUGGGUUCUGGAGAUAGGAAAUCAGGCAGGUUGUCAGGCCUAGAAGCAAAGGCCUGUCUGCACUGAGCCAUCUUACUUGUCUUAUUUUGUUACUUUUGAUGACCUAUUUUAGACAUCACUAUUCUAUAGCCCUAAGUAUAACUUCAAGUAUGUAUCUUCCACAAUGACUUUAUGACCAUGAAAUCAAUUCAAGAAAUUUAACAUGUAUGCAGUUCUAUCCAGCGUACAUACAGAUUUCUCAUCCCCCCUUUUACUGUAGUUUAUAGAAAAAGCAAUUCUCUUCCAUAUCUAGAGUUUGACAAGGAAUAUGCAUUGCAUUUGGUUUCUGUGUUCUUUAAUCUCUUGUUGUACAGAACUUCAACCUUUCAUGACAGGUUGAACAAUUUUGGAUCAUACAGGCUGUCAUGGUUUGAAUAUGUUUGGCCCAGGGAGUGGUACUGUUAGGGGUGUGGUCUUCUUGGAAUAGGUGUGUCACCGUGGGCGUGGGCUUUAAGACCCUCAUCCUUAGCUUCUGGAAGUCAGUCUUCCACUAGCAACCUUCAGAUGAAGAUGUAGAACUCUCACCAUCUCCUGCACUAUACCUGCCUGGAUAUCGCCAUGUUCCUGCCUUGAUGAUUAUGGACUGAACCUCUGAACCUGUAAGCCAGCCCCAAUUAAAUUUGUCCUUAUAAGAGUUACCUUGGUCAUGGUGUCUGUUCACAGCAGUAAAACCCUAACUAAGACACAGGCCAAUUACAGAAUGUCUCUUUUUGGUGUGUGCAGUGUUAAAGUUUGAAGCACAAGCCUAAUGCUUGUUAGACAAGCACUCUACCGCUGCUCUACAUCAGCAGCUCAGUGUGCCUCUUGUCUUGAUGGGCUCAUUGUUUUUUAUGACCCAGUGCAUUGGGGUGAGCAGCUCACACAGGUACGAAGGGGUCCCUCUCAGAGCUUAACAUCAGGGAACUCAAUGUUGGUUUGUCUGUUCUAUUUCAGCUGAGCUAGUAUCUGGCAGUUCCCCACAACCCCCAUCAAGUUACCACUUUUUUCUUUGUAAUUGUAAUUUGCAAAGAAAUAUUUGCAAGAUUAAGUAAUAGACUACACAACGUGUUUUAGCUUCCACUGAGCAUUCAGCCUGAACUGUUUUAUAAAGUUAUGAAAUGAUAGAUUUCCAACUUAAUAAUUAUUUUAAAGACUUAUUUUAUUUUUAGUUCUGCAUGUAUGCCUGUGUGUGCACGUGUGUACCUAUGUAUCUGUAUGGUUAUGUGCACAUGAAUGCAGAUGUCCAAGGAGAAGAGGCCAGACACAUUGGAUCCCUGGUGCUCAAGUGGGAGGUGGCUGUCAGCUGCUGUAGGAAGGUGAUGGGAACUCAGCUUGAGUCCUUUGCAAGAACAGCAUGAGCUCUUAAACACAGAGCCACAUCUUCAGUCCCUCUCUUAUUUUUUUAAAAAUUAUUCUCUCUCUGUGUAUGUGUGUGUAUACAGAGGUCAGAGGAUCAUUUUUGUAAAAUUAGUUCUCUCUACCUUUUUUUGUGGGCUCUGGGGACUAAACUCAAGUUGUUGGGAUUUUGUGACAAGUGCUGUAUCCACUGAGCCCUCUCACAUGCCCUUAAAUGUUAUUUUAAAUAAUAGCAAAUGAGUACGUUCAAGCAUACGAGAAUAAGCAUGUCCUAUUGAUUUGAAUAUGCAAAAGUAUGCCAAUUUUUUAAAUCUCUAUUACCAAGUGGACAAGUAUUCCAUUUUAUCUCCAAAAGUAAAGAUUUCUUUUAGAUACAGUCAUGUGGAUUAUACAACUUGACUGAAGCCAUGUCUCCAAGAUACAUACCUAGAGGGUAAAGGGAAUGCUUUAAAGGAGCGUGAUUAUGAAUAUCCAAGCUGAAAAUAAACACUAAUUACUAACAAAAAGGAUUACUGAGAAAAAUAUGGGUUGGUUUUCAGUACUUGACUCUGUAAAGUUAUUUCUUUUCUUAUUUAGUUUUUAUUCAUAAUCAUAAACUUAACUUUGCCAUCCAGCUAGACUUGAAGGGGAAUGAGGAAAAUAUGGAACCCAAAGAACUUGAGCAGAGAUUACAGGGUAUUUCAAGCAGAUGGGGUAGGGAUGCUCUCCUGCGCUACAGAAGGAAUGGUUGGAUGGGUAAAAUGCCUGCAAGUCAAAAGAAAUUAGAGUUAUCCACAGUCGGAAAUGGUCUUGCUGGUCUUUCCAUUCCUGGACCCAAAACACUCCAUGGCUUCCACAAUGUUCAUGCCUUCUUUCACCUUCCCAGACACCACAUGCUUGCCAUCCAGCCACUUAGUCUUGGCAGUGCAGAUAAAAAACUGGGAACCGUUUGUGUUGGUCCAGUAUUUGCCAUGGACAAGAUGCCAGGACCUGUAUGCUUCAGGAUGAAGAUCUCAUCCUCAAAUUUCUCUCCAUAGAUGGAUCUGCCGCCAGUGCCAUUAUGGCAUGUAAAGUCACCACCCUGGCACAUGAAUCCUGGAAUAAUUCUGUGAAAGGAGGAACCCUUCUAGUAAAAUCCUUUCUCUCCAGUGCUCAGAGCAUGAAAGUUUCCCGCUGUCUUUGGAACUUUGUCUGCAAACAGCUGGAAGGAGACUCUUCAAGGGCUCGUCAUCGGCCGUGAUGUCAGAGAACACGGUGGGGUCGACUGUGGCUACAGCAAGAGGACCAACGGUACUGUUGCUCUAGCUACAGGAAUAAUCCUGGGCAGCACUUGUUGACCUUGGUCACUGUCAAGGGAAGAUCGGCUGUUCCCACUGAGGGCAUCUUGAUGGAUUAAGGUGAUCAGCUGAUCAAUGUGAGGGGACAGAUGGGAGCUAGGAACUGUCUCGGUACUGAGUCAUUUUUCAUCUAAUGUGCAAGAAACCCAAAGAGCACAUCAAACAGCGAACUACGCCUAAGCUAUCCAUGUUUCUCCUGCUUCUUCUGAGAGGGUGAUUUACACGUAGCUCAACACUCGAGUGUUGCAGUAUCGAGUGACUGCAACCAAACAAUGGAACAUGCAUCGUGCCUGUUGACAGAGCCUGCAGUUGGCUUGGAACCGGGACCAUGCUGCAUUCGACAUCGUUCCUGGUGGCUGACUUGUUCCCAUAGAAUUAAAUGCUAGGCAUCCAGAAGCUGACUGUGCAUCUGAUGGGCUCACUAACAUUCAGGAACAGGUUGGCCUCAGACUUCAUCAAUGGAAAG